GAAGUUAAGGUGAUAUGGCGGAUAUGUCUGUUAACAUAUUGAUCUGCUGGGUUAAUUCUGCUGAUUCCACUGGCUAGGUUCGUGCUUCCUCCUUCAUCUCAGUUCUCAUUGUGCGUCCUACUGAUGCUUUGAGUCCAAACAAGAGAAAACUUCCCUUGGCUGAGGAGACCUGUCUUCUGUCAAGGGUAUUUAGUAACUUCUUCUACCUGCUGGAACUCCAAACCAUUGACCAAGGUCCUAAUAAAUGGAGGGCUGGCAUUAUUCCCCAGAUAACUAAGACAAAUGAGGGAAUUUAUUUGAGGUAAGAUAAAUUUCCAU
rnacentral:snRNA from 1 species